rnacentral:rRNA from 1 species
GUUGAACGCUGGCGGCGUGCCUAAUACAUGCAAGUCGAGCGGACAGACGAGGAUUUUGCCCGGCUUACGUUAGGGGCGGACGGGUGAUUAACACGUGGAUAACCGACCUAGAAGACUGGGAUAAGUACGCGAAACCUGAUCUAAUACCGGAUAAGAGAGUGAACCGCAUGGAUCAAUAGUGAACGACGUAUCUGACGUGACUUAGAGAGGUACCCGGGCCGGAUUAGCUAGUUGGCAGGGAAACGGCUUACCAUGGCAGCAAUGCGUAGCCGACCAGGCAGAGGGACAGGCACCACUGAACCUGAAAAACGGUCCAGAUCCCAAGGGAAGGCAGCAGUAGGAAAACUUGACCAAUGGGCGAAAGCCUGACCAAGCAACGCCGCGUGAGUAAUGAAGGCCUCCGGUUCGUAAACAUCUGUUGUUAGGAAAGAACGAAUGAGUAAAUAACUAUGCACGUCUUGAGGGUACAUAAUAAGAAAGCCACGCCUACCUACGU